GACGAACGCUGGCGGCGUGCCUAAUACAUGCCAGUUGAGCGCUGAAGGUUGGUACUUGUACCAACUGGAUGAGCAGCGAACGGGUGAGUAACGCGUGGGGAAUCUGCCUUUGAGCGGGGGACAACAUUUGGAAACGAAUGCUAAUACCACAUAAAAACUUUAAACACAAGUUUUAAGUUUGAAAGAUGCAAUUGCAUCACUCAAAGAUGAUCCCGCGUUGUAUUAGCUAGUUGGUGAGGUAAAGGCUCACCAAGGCGAUGAUACAUAGCCGACCUGAGAGGGUGAUCGGCCACAUUGGGACUGAGACACGGCCCAAACUCCUACGGGAGGCAGCAGGAGGGAAUCUUCGGCAAUGGACGAAAGUCUGACCGAGCAACGCCGCGUGAGUGAAGAAGGGUUUCGGAUCGUAAAACUCUGUUGGUAGAGAAGAACGUUGGUGAGAGUGGAAAGCUCAUCAAGUGACGGUAACUACCCAGAAAGGGACGGCUAACUACGUG
rnacentral:rRNA from 1 species